rnacentral:rRNA from 1 species
UACGGGGGGAGCAAGCGUUGUUCGGAUUUACUGGGCGUAAAGGGCGCGUAGGCGGUCGUGACAAGUCACUUGUGAAAUCUCCGGGCUUAACUCGGAACGGUCAAGUGAUACUGUCGGACUAGAGUACAGAAGGGGCAACUGGAAUUCUCGGUGUAGCGGUGAAAUGCGUAGAUAUCUGGAGGAAUACCGGUGGCGAAGGCGGCAUCCUGGACCGACAUUGACGCUGAUGAGCGAAAGCUAGGGGAGCAAACGGG